GUGGAUUUUGUAGGAAGAACUGUAGUGCCAGGUUCAUUAUCACAACAACUAUUGGAGCUGUUUUCGGAUUCUUCGUUGGUGUUUCCUUCCCAUCGGUUUCCCUCGACAGGAUUCUAAACUUACCUUCAAGCUUGGACUGUCUGUUGAUGUAGCUGCAUCUAAUAGCAAACAAUUCUAUAUUAUCAAAUCUUCCGAAACAAUUCGAAGAAAUAUUUCCAAGAUUUAUGUUCCAACAAAUCCUCUCGGUGCAGAAUCUUUACCUCCGGGA